rnacentral:rRNA from 1 species
UACAGAGGUCUCAAGCGUUGUUCGGCUUCAUUGGGCGUAAAGGGUGCGUAGGCGGCGCGGCAAGUCGGGUGUGAAAUCUCGGAGCUUAACUCCGAAACUGCAUUCGAUACUGCCGUGCUUGAGGACUGGAGAGGAGACUGGAAUUUACGGUGUAGCGGUGAAAUGCGUAGAUAUCGUAAGGAAGACCAGUGGCGAAGGCGGGUCUCUGGGCCGAUACUGACGCUGAGGAGCGAAAGCGUGGGGAGCAAACAGG